UUUGUAUUUUUGGCAUUCUGGAUCCUCUUUCUCUACAAUCGAGAUCUCAUUUACCCCAAGGUCCUAGAUACUGUCAUCCCCGUGUGGCUGAAUCAUGCAAUGCACACUUUCAUAUUCCCCAUCACAUUGGCUGAAGUCGUCCUCAGGCCUCACUCCUAUCCAUCAAAGAAGACAGGACUCACCUUGCUGGCUGCUGCCAGCAUUGCUUACAUCAGCCGCAUCCUAUGGCUCUACUUUGAGACGGGUACCUGGGUGUAUCCUGUGUUUGCCAAACUCAGCCUCUUGGGUCUAGCAGCUUUCUUCUCUCUCAGCUACGUCUUCAUCGCCAGCAUCUACCUACUUGGAGAGAAGCUCAACCACUGGAAAUGGGGUGACAUGAGGCAGCCACGGAAGAAGAGGAAGUAAUUGCACACCAUUUUCCAAGAACCAAGAAAGAAGAAAACACAAGAGAUUUUUCUCAUCUUUUUUUUUUUUUUCUGGUGGAGGGAGGUGGUGGAGGAACAUAGCAAAGUAGGAGGGACAGAGAGUGAUACUUAAAUUUAAUAAGAGGUUCGUGAAGGUAGCUUAACUUGAGAACUCUUGGUUUUUUGAAAGGUUGACUGCACAUGCCAAAAACAACUCCUGCUAUCUCAGAAUUAAUUAUCUUUGACCUUCGUGGAGGAUGGUCUCUGGUUAAAAUCUGGCCAAAGAAACUCACAUAAACUUGGUGUUAGAGAACAUCUAGAGAGAGAGAGAGGAACUUAGAGUCAUUUAAACUCUUCAGUUUACAGAGAAGGAUGCUGAGGACCUAGAUGAGAAGUUACCUGCAAAAGGCAAAAGGGUUACUUAGUGUCAGAACCAAGGCAAUGACUUCUCUCUCCCAGAUCUCCUAGCUACUGGUCCUGGGCCAUUUUUUUUUUUUUAAAUAAUCCCAACUUUCUUUAAAAGACAAGCAUUUCAGUAAGCUAGUUAUUUUCAUGGGUUGCUCAUCCAUUUUUUUCAGUGAUCUAAAAAUGUAGGGAGAUGGCUACUACUGAAGUUGUCUGUCUACUUGGGAUAAUAGCAAAUUAAUUGAAGACAAUGGGAAAGUAAGUUAUAAAAAAUACUGGGAAAUCUGUUUCUCUUCUGAGCAAGCAUUCAGGGCAGGUAUAAACAUCAAACAUAGUGACAUUGUCAAAACCUCUUCCAUUUGAACAUUGAUUAAUUCAUCAAAUAAAUGGUAUAGUAAU
rnacentral:lncRNA from 1 species